rnacentral:rRNA from 1 species
GAUGAACGCUGGCGGCGUGCCUAAUACAUGCAAGUCGAACGCUGGAGAUCUAGCUUGCUAGAUCGAAGGAGUGGCGAACGGGUGAGUAAUACAUAAGCAACCUACCCACGAAGACUGGGAUAAUCUCUGGAAACGGGGACUAAUACCGGAUAGGUAAUCGGAAGGCAUCUUCUGGUUAUUAAAGGUUAAAAACACUGGUGGAUGGGCUUAUGGCGCAUUAGUUAGUUGGUGAGGUAACGGCCCACCAAGACGAUGAUGCGUAGCCGGCCUGAGAGGGUGAACGGCCACAUUGGGACUGAGACACGGUCCAGACUCCUACGGGAGGCAGCAGUAGGGAAUUUUCGGCAAUGGGGGCAACCCUGACCGAGCAACGCCGCGUGAGUGAAGACGGCCUUCGGGUUGUAAAGCUCUGUUGUAAGGGAAGAACGGUAGAUAGAGAAUAUCUAAGUGACGGUACCUUACCAGAAAGCCACGGCUAACUACGUG